GCAAAACGCGAAGAACCUUACCAAGGCUUAAAUGUAUUAUGACCGUCUGGAAACNGGACUUUCUUCGGACAGAAUGCAAGGUGCUGCAUGGCUGUCGUCAGCUCGUGCCGUGAGGUGUCAGGUUAAGUCCUAUAACGAGCGCAACCCCUAUCACUAGUUGCCAGCGUUUCAAGACGGGGACUCUAGUGAGACUGCCAACGCAAGUUGCGAGGAAGGUGGGGACGACGUCAAGUCAUCACGGCCCUUACGCCUUGGGCCACACACGUGCUACAAUGGCCGGUACAGAGGGCAGCUACUAUGUGAAUAGAUGCGAAUCUCGAAAGCCGGUCUCAGUUCGGAUUGGAGUCUGCAACUCGACUCUAUGAAGCUGGAAUCGCUAGUAAUCGCAUAUCAGCCAUGAUGCGGUGAAUACGUUCCCGGGUCUUGUACACACCG
rnacentral:rRNA from 1 species